rnacentral:misc_RNA from 1 species
CCACCCUCAGGCCCUGCCUGGUGUUGGGGACCUGCCACUGUGGCAGCCCCCGAAAGACAGCGGCGGUACUGUCCGCGCGCCCUGGCGAAGUAAUUUACGCCGCCUGGGACGCCGGAGAGCGCCUGCCGGAAAACCACCAACUUCAUA